rnacentral:rRNA from 1 species
UUUCCCUCAGGAUAGCUGGCACUCGCUUGAGCGAGUCUCAUCUGGUAAAGCGAAUGAUUAGAGGCCUUGGGGCCGAAACGACCUCAACCUAUUCUCAAACUUUAAAUGGGUGAGAUCUCUGGCUUGCUUGAACGUUGAAGCCACGAGAUUUUUCUUUAAUCCUUUGGAUCAGAGUGCCAAGUGGGCCAAUUUUGGUAAGCAGAACUGGCGCUGUGGGA